GCAAAUCUUUGUAGGUUGAGCAGACUAAGUUUUCACUCUAUAAAUAGGAGUGGCCUUUUCUUCGUCCGGGGGGAGGAGCUUCUUUUAAAAAAAAAUCAGAAAAAGUGGAGAGAAGUUUUGUCUGCAGUAAAAAGAGAGAAAGAGUACGAAGGAAGAGGGAGAGUGACGUGAGAAAGAGAGAGAGAGAGAGAGGAGAAAAGUAAAGAGGUGAUUUGACCCCUACUAUUCAUCAUCUUCCCCAAAUCGCUGCCCUUCCUCUGCAACUUCCAUCCGCGAGGUUUCCGCCACCGUGUGUUCGCCACAGCCACUUCGGUGGUCUCUCCACGAAGCUCGCCGCGACGACGCCGCGCCGCCGAGGUCCCCGACGCUUGAGUCCUCCUCCGCCCGAGCCCACCGUGCCGCACCCGUGAACUCGCCCGACGUCCCUGUUCGCCGCGCUGACGCUGUUCGGAGCCGAAGACCAGCGACCCGACGCUGCAAUCCAAGCUGCUCCGCCCGCGAGCCAGAACUUGAACCCGCUGUAACGCCGGAUCGCUCCGCCCACAGCCUGAUCCGACCGUGAAUCUGCCCAGCCCGGAGUCUGUUGAAGCUACCACUUUCCUCCCUGGGCCGCGCCUCCUCACGACGACCCGAAGCCCCACCGGAAUCUGCUCCACCAGCCCGACGAAGCUGCUUCUACGCCGAUCCGCGACCCCCGACGCUGCUUCCCUUUGCUCUGUCCGCGAUCCGCCCACCACGCCGCCGGAAUCCCUCUGCACCCGCGAGCUCGUCCCGACGCCACCCGCGACCUGCUGCUACCGCCGGACCGCUCGCUAUCAAUCCACUCGUUGCUGGUCCUCGCCGGAGCUCUAAACGCCGACGACCCAACCUCCGGUGAUCCACCGAAGCCGCUCAGCCGUGGGUGAAGAAAGCAGGAAAAGAAAAAAGAAAAAAAGAAAAGGAAAUGGAAAUUAGGUAGUUUUAUUUUCUUUUUCUAUUUACUUUAUUUUAUUUAUUUCUUUUAAGUUUAGGAGUGAUCUUUAUUUCAUGGAUUUUGUAGGCAUUAUCCACAGGAUCUUCCCUAAAAUUAUUGUAAUUAUUAAUUUGAU
rnacentral:lncRNA from 1 species